rnacentral:rRNA from 1 species
UUGCUGGAUGCUCCAACUUGACGCAUGUCUUUGUUUGGGAAAGUGUUUAGUUGGCAUGGGAUGGGGUCGCGUCCUAUCAGCUUGUAGGCGGGGUAAUGGCCCACCUAGGCUUCGACGGGUAGCCGGCCUGAGAGGGCGGACGGCCACAUUGGGACUGAGAUACGGCCCAGACUCCUACGGGAGGCAGCAGUGGGGAAUAUUGCGCAAUGGGGGAAACCCUGACGCAGCGACGCCGCGUGCGGGAUGAAGGCCUUCGGGUUGUAAACCGCUUUUGAUUGGGAGCAAGCUUUCGGGUGAGUGUACCUUUCGAAUAAGCGCCGGGCUAACUACGUGCCAGCAGCCGCGGUAAAU